ensembl:lncRNA APOC1P1 apolipoprotein C1 pseudogene 1
CUCCCAACCAAGCCCUCCAGCAAGGAUUCAGGUUGUUGAGUGCUUGGGAGGGACACCCGCCUCCACUCUGCAAGAACUCAUAAAGGGAGAUGAGGGGAUCGUGGGAGGGAGGGAGGAGGGUGCCACUGAUCCCCUGAACCCCUGCCUCCGCCUCCAGGGUGCCCCUCCGGCCUCGCCAUGAGGCUCUUCCUGUCGCUCCCGGUCCUGGUGGUGGUUCUGUCGAUCGUCUUGGAAGGCCCAGCCCCAGCCUAGGGGGCUCCAGAAGUCUCCAACCCCUUUGAUGGCCUGGAGGAGUUAGGAAAGACCCUGGAGGACUACACUCGGGAAUUCAUCAACCGCAUCACACAGAGUGAACUUCCUGCCAAGAUGUGGGAUUGGUUUUCAGAGACAUUUCGGAAAGUGAAGGAGAAACUCAAGACUGACUCAUGAGGACCUGAAGGGUGACAUCCCAGGAGGGGCCUCUGAAAUUUCCAACACCCCAGCGCCUGUACUGAGGACGCCCUCCAUGUGUGUCCAAUGUGGUCACACGCCCAGGUGUGACCAAUAAAAAUCCUAUGGAAAAUUCUCUC